rnacentral:rRNA from 1 species
AGAGUUUGAUCCUGGCUCAGAUUGAACGCUGGCGGCAUGCCUUACACAUGCAAGUCGAACGGCAGCACGGGAGCAAUCCUGGUGGCGAGUGGCGAACGGGUGAGUAAUAUAUCGGAACGUGCCCAGUUGUGGGGGAUAACGUAGCGAAAGCUACGCUAAUACCGCAUACGAUCUAUGGAUGAAAGCGGGGGAUCGCAAGACCUCGCGCGAUUGGAGCGGCCGAUAUCAGAUUAGGUAGUUGGUGGGGUAAAGGCUCACCAAGCCGACGAUCUGUAGCUGGUCUGAGAGGACGACCAGCCACACUGGGACUGAGACACGGCCCAGACUCCUACGGGAGGCAGCAGUGGGGAAUUUUGGACAAUGGGCGCAAGCCUGAUCCAGCAAUGCCGCGUGCAGGAUGAAGGCCUUCGGG